UACAGAGGUCCCAAGCGUUGUUCGGAUUUACUGGGCGUAAAGGGUGCGUAGGUGGCGGGGUAAGUCUGGUGUGAAAGCUCCGAGCUCAACUCGGAAAAGCAUUGGAAACUAUCCCGCUGGAGGGUCGGAGGGGAGACUGGAAUUCUCGGUGUAGCAGUGAAAUGCGUAGAUAUCGAGAGGAACACCAGUGGCGAAGGCGAGUCUCUGGACGACUCCUGACGCUGAGGCACGAAGGCCAGGGGAGCAAACGGG
rnacentral:rRNA from 1 species